CGCCGCUUGCAGUGGCGAUCCGCCUCGGGUUGGCCGUUUUCAGCCGAAUUCAGUCAAACUUGCAUUGGUCCCUGUGAUAAAACAACCCUAGGGCCCUCGGUGGGCCAAACAAUUAUGAAAAAUUGAGACUUAUUGGCGGCGGUGCUCUCGGGUGCGGCAGCUUCUCCGGCGCGAGUCGUGUUUUGAUGUUUUACUCCGGUUAACCUGUAGAGAAAAGGACGGCGAACACAGUAGUAUAAAAAUUGCAUUGAACGGAGACCGGGAAGGGCCUCAUUGGAGGCAAAAACAGAGGGAAGUCGCGGCGGCGCCGCUGGACUUCGGCGGGUUUUUCUAGUUGAUUGGCCGGUGGUUUGGCCAUAGGCAGAUUCAGCAUCGAAAAACGAGCCAAGGGGAGAAAAUUUACCUCGAAUG
rnacentral:lncRNA from 1 species